CAGGCCUAACACAUGCAAGUCGAACGGAAAGGCCCGCUUGCGGGUACUCGAGUGGCGAACGGGUGAGUAACACGUGGGCAACCUGCCCUCAGCUUUGGGAUAACUCCCGGAAACGGGUGCUAAUACCGGAUAUUGACACAGUGUCGCAUGGUGUUGUGUUGAAAGUUUUUCGGCUGGGGAUGGGCCCGCGGCCUAUCAGCUUGUUGGUGGGGUGAUGGCCUACCAAGGCGACGACGGGUAGCCGGCCUGAGAGGGCGAUCGGCCACACUGGAACUGAGACACGGUCCAGACUCCUACGGGAGGCAGCAGUGGGGAAUAUUGCGCAAUGGGCGGAAGCCUGACGCAGCGACGCCGCGUGAGGGAUGAAGGUCUUCGGAUUGUAAACCUCUUUCAGUAGGGACGAAUUUGACGG
rnacentral:rRNA from 1 species